AUAUAUAUAUAGUAAUGAGGCUGUAUAUGAGCAUUAGAAAUUUUGUUUUCAAGAUCUUAUAAAAUCCCCCAAGAAAUAGUAGUACUAAUAAAAUGGAGUUUAAGGCAUAUAAGGAAACGAACGAGGUGUUAUGCUAUUUGUAGUGCAUGAGAAGUUAUCAGCCAGGAGGUGACAUGUUAUUUCACUAGCAUUAGAUGACUACAAUGUGUGUUUGAUCCCUUUUAAUCUCUUAUUGUACUUAUAUUUCUACCAGUAGAUGGCUUAUGGAUGCAAUGUAUAUUAGACUUUGCUGCAAAGAAGGUUGGGGCCUCAAACCCAUUGU
rnacentral:misc_RNA from 1 species